GAUGAACGCUAGCGGCAGGCCUAGUACAUGCAAGUCGGACGGGAUUGAGGAGCUUGCUUCUCAUGAGAGUGGCGCACGGGUGCGUAACACGUAUGUAACCUAACUUGUUCAGGGGGAUAGCCUCUCGAAAGAGAGAUUAAGACCGCAUAACGUAGUGAUGUGGCAUCAUAUUACUACCAAAUAUUUAUAGGAACAAGAUGGGCAUGCGGAACAUUAGCUAGUUGGUAAGGUAGCGGCUUACCAAGGCUACGAUGUUUAGGGGAUCUGAGAGGAUUACCCCCCACACUGGUAAUGAGAAACGGACCAGACUCCUACGGGAGGCAGCAGUAAGGAAUAUUGGUCAAUGGACGGAAGUCUGAACCAGCCAUGCCGCGUGUAGGAAGACGGCCCUACGGGUUGUAAACUGCUUUUAUACGGGAAUAAACCUACUUACGUGUAAGUAGCUGAAUGUACUGUAAGAAUAAGGAUCGGCUAACUCCGUGCCAGCCGCCGCAGUAAGAC
rnacentral:rRNA from 1 species